GCCUACGGGGGGCAGCAGUGGGGAAUAUUGGGCAAUGGGCGCAAGCCUGACCCAGCAACGCCGCGUGAGGGAAGAAGGUUUUCGGAUUGUAAACCUCUGUCGCAGGGGACGAAAAAAAUGACGGUACCCUGUGAGGAAGCCCCGGCUAACUACGUGCCAGCAGCCGCGGUAAUACGUAGGGGGCGAGCGUUGUCCGGAAUUACUGGGCGUAAAGGGUGCGUAGGCGGCUUGGCAAGUCGGAUGUGAAAAGCUCUUGCUUAACGAGAGAGGUGCAUUCGAAACUGCCGAGCUUGAGUGUAGGAGAGGAAAGCGGAAUUCCUAGUGUAGCGGUGAAAUGCAUAGAUAUUAGGAGGAACACGAGUGGCGAAGGCGGCUUUCUGGACUACAACUGACGCUGAGGCACGAAAGCGUGGGGAGCAAACAGGAUUAGAUACCCGCGUAGUCCC
rnacentral:rRNA from 1 species